rnacentral:rRNA from 1 species
CCAAUAGCGUAUAUUAAAGUUGUUGCAGUUAAAAAGCUCGUAGUUGAAUUUCGGAAUCUGUCCAUCGGUCGGGCUUCACUGUCCGUACUGGUGUGGUGGGUUCUUACCUUCUGAAUAACCAGCAUGCCAUUCAUUUGGUGCGUUGGGGAAGCAGGACUAUUACCUUGAAAAAAUUAGAGUGCUCAAAGCAGGCUAGUGCCUGAAUACAUUAGCAUGGAAUAAUAAAAUAGGACGGCAUGGUUCUAUUUUGUUGGUUUCUAGGAUCACCGUAAUGAUUAAUAGGGAUAGUUGGGGGCAUUAGUAUUCAAUUGUCAGAGGUGAAAUUCUUGGAUUUAUUGAAGACUAACUUCUGCGAAAGCAUUUGCCAAGGAUGUUUUCAUUAAUCAAGAACGAAAGUUAGGGGAUCGAAGACGAUCAGAUACCGUCGUAGUCUUAACCAUAAACUAUGCCGACUAGGGAUCGGACGAUGUUAAUUUUUUAAUGACUCGUUCGGCGCCUUACG